rnacentral:rRNA from 1 species
UACAGAGGUCCCAAGCGUUGUUCGGAUUCACUGGGCGUAAAGGGUGCGUAGGUGGUGGGGUAAGUCGGAUGUGAAAUCUCCGAGCUUAACUCGGAACUGUCAGCUGAUACUGUUUUGCUAGAGUGCGGAAGGGGCAAUCGGAAUUCUUGGUGUAGCGGUGAAAUGCGUAGAUAUCAAGAGGAACACCUGAGGUGAAGACGGGUUGCUGGGCCGACACUGACGCUGAGUGCGCGAAAGCCAGGGGAGCAAACGGG